GACGAACGCUGGCGGCGUGCCUAAUACAUGCAAGUAGAACGCUGAAGGAGGAGCUUGCUUCUCUGGAUGAGUUGCGAACGGGUGAGUAACGCGUAGGUAACCUGCCUGGUAGCGGGGGAUAACUAUUGGAAACGAUAGCUAAUACCGCAUAAGAGUAGAUGUCGCAUGACAUUUGCUUAAAAGUUGCAAUUGCAUCACUACCAGAUGGACCUGCGUUGUAUUAGCUAGUUGGUGAGGUAACGGCUCACCAAGGCAACGAUACAUAGCCGACCUGAGAGGGUGAUCGGCCACACUGGGACUGAGACACGGCCCAGACUCCUACGGGAGGCAGCAGUAGGGAAUCUUCGGCAAUGGACGGAAGUCUGACCGAGCAACGCCGCGGGAGUGAAGAAGGGUGUCGGAUCGUAAAGCUCUGUUGUAAGAGAAGAACGAGUGUGAGAGUGGAAAGUUCACACUGUGACGGUAGCUUAACAGAAAGGGACGGCUAACUACGUG
rnacentral:rRNA from 1 species